rnacentral:rRNA from 1 species
ACUCCUACGGGAGGCAGCAGUGAGGAAUAUUGGUCAAUGGGGGCAACCCUGAACCAGCCAUGCCGCGUGAAGGAUGAAGGUCCUAAGGAUUGUAAACUUCUUUUGUACGGGGGUAAUUUACGAGUCGUGACUUGUAUUGAAAGUACUGUACGAAUAAGCAUCGGCUAACUCUGUGCCAGCAGCCGCGGUAAU